AACCAGUGAAACCACCAAACCCGUCCCAAUCCACGCUCUCACGCUCGAAACCCACACACGACGACGGCGACGGCGGCGGCGGCGCGGCGCGCGCGGCAACGACGGAGCUCCGUCCUCCUCACCAUCCUUCUCUCUGCCUCUUCCGCCGCGGAUGCGUCCUUCCUCUGCACGCACAAGGUGUGCUUUCUGAUUCCGUUCUGAGCGCACAAGGUGCGCUUUCGAUUCCGUUCUAAGAUGGACAAUCAAGUAGCACCACAAUGCUAUUUUAAUGUGGAGGCUGAGCACACUAUGACUGUGCCGAUGAAAAUAUCUGAAACUCAAACCAGGGUAACAAAUCCUGUUGAGGUGAACAGCACAACCAGAAUUAGCUCAACGACUAUUGGGGGCCAAACACCUUAUGUAAUUGAGAAAUUACUAGGCUGGUGGGUGGAGGCACAAGUUAACUAGCUUGCUAACAUUAUAUUGCUACUCUAGGAUCUCUUUUCAUCAGGCGUGGGCUUAACAUGACAAAAUUUUGGAUUAUAAUGCUGUUUAAUUAGACGAAAGAUGCGUGAAAUAGAUCAGAUCAAUUCAUAGUCUGACCAUUUCAUUUUGUCCUUGUCGAUGUAUAAAGUGAUUUAAAUCUUAUAUUUGUGUAUUCACGUACAUUCACUGAAAAUGGUAUGUGCGUUACUGGUGUCUAUAGUUACGUUGUUAGCAGCAACUGAAAUUGAUAGGUA